rnacentral:rRNA from 1 species
AGCGAACGCUGGCGGCAUGCCUAACACAUGCAAGUCGAGCGCUCCCAGCAAUGGGGGAGCGGCGGACGGGUGAGUAACGCGUAGGAACGUAUCCUGAGGUGGGGGAUAACCCUGGGAAACUAGGGCUAAUACCGCAUGAUGGCGAGAGCCCAAAGAUUUAUCGCCUUGGGAGCGGCCUGCGUCUGAUUAGCUUGUUGGUGGGGUAACGGCCUACCAAGGCGAUGAUCAGUAGCUGGUCUGAGAGGAUGAUCAGCCACACUGGGACUGAGACACGGCCCAGACUCCUACGGGAGGCAGCAGUGGGGAAUAUUGGACAAUGGGCGAAAGCCUGAUCCAGCAAUGCCGCGUGGAUGAAGAAGGUCUUCGGAUUGUAAAGUCCUUUCGGCGGGACGAUGAUGACGGUACCCGCAGAAGAAGCCCCGGCUAACUUCGUG